rnacentral:SRP_RNA from 1 species
GCUGGGUGUGGUGGCAGGCGCUUGUAAUCCCAGCUACUCGGGAGGCUGAGGUAGGAGAAUUGCUUGAACCCAGGAGAUGGAGGUUGCAGUGAGCUGAGACUGUGCCACUGCAACUCCAGCCUGGGUAACACAGCAAGACUCUGUCUCAA